ACAGAAAGACACACAUGAGCAGGACAUACUACAAAUUGCCACUUGUGUGGAUCAAAUUACAAAAGACAGGCUUGAAUGUUGAAGUAGAUAGAAUAUUGGAGAUUGCUUGUGUCAUUACUGAUGGGAAAUUGCGGAAAUUGGUAGAGGGUCCUGAUUUGGUGAUUCAUCAAACAAAAGAUUGUGUAGAUGAAGUUGGAGAACAGAGCCAAGAUCAUCAUGUGAGAAAUGG